CAGCAGCCGCGGUAAUACGAAGGUGGCGAGCGUUGUUCGGAAUUAUUGGGCUUAAAGAGCACGUAGGCGGAUCAGAAAGUGUCUUGUGAAAACCCCCGGCUUAACCGGGGAAUUGCUUGGCAAACUUCUAGAUCUUGAGUCAAGUAGGGGUACAUGGAACUCUUAGUGGAGCGGUGGAAUGCGUAGAUAUUAAGAGGAACGCCAAUGGUGAAGACAGUGUACUGGGCUUGUACUGACGCUGAGGUGCGAAAGCGUGGGGAGCGAACGGGAUUAGAUACCCCGGUAGUCCACGCCGUAAACGAUGUCUACUAGGUUGUGGGUGUACUGACACAGUCACAGCCGAAGCAAAAGUGUUAAGUACACCGCCUGGGGAGUACGGUCGCAAGGCUAAAACUCAAAGGAAUUGACGGGGGCUCACACAAGCGGUGGAGCAUGUGGAUUAAUUCGAAGCAACGCGCAGAACCUUACCUGGGUUUGACAUGUUUGAAUGCCCAUCUGGAAACAGAGUCGGCUGCCUUAGGGUGAAACUUACACAGGUGCUACAUGGCUGUCGUCAGCUCGUGUCGUGAGAUGUCGGGUUAAGUCCUUUAACGAGCGAAACCCUUACCGUUAGUUGCCAGCGCGUCAUGGCGGGGACUCUAGCGGGACUGCCGGUGUCAAACCGGAGGAAGGCGGGGAUGACGUCAAGUCCUCAUGGCCUUUAUGCCCAGGGCUUCACACGUGCUACCAUGGUAACUACAAAGCGACGCAAGACCGCGAGGUGGAGCAAAUCGCAAAAAAGUUGCCUCAGUUCGGAUUGCAGGCUGUCAACUCGCCUGCAUGAAGUUGGAAUCGCUAGUAAUCGCGUAUCAGCUACGACGCGGUGAAUGUGUUCCUGAGCCCUGUACACACCGCCCGUCAAGUGAUGGAAGUCGGGAGCACCCGAAGUCGGAUUGCUAACCAGUUUACUGGGAGCGUCUGCCGACGGUGAGUUCGAUGACUGGCACUAAGUCGUAACAAGGUAACCGUA
rnacentral:rRNA from 1 species